UACAGGAGGAAGAUAUACAUACAAAGAACAUGAAAAGAUGGGGGUUGCCAUACCAACUCUAAGAGACUAGUCAAUUAAGGCGAGCUAUUAGGAGGAGAAAAAAAAACGUUUGUAGUGAUAAUCAGGGUGGCCCAUUUCAAACAGUUGACACGACAGUGUGAGUAACAGUAGGGGAAAACUGAUACUAGCUCGUCUGAGUUGAUUAGUCUCACAGAGUUGGUAUGGCAGCCUCCAUCUUUUCAUGGUGUGUGUGUGUGUAUGUGUGUGUCUUCCUACUGUAUGCUCCACUUCAUGCAUCUGAUGAAGUGCGUCAUAGCCCACGAAAGCUUAUGCCCAAAUAAAUUUGUUAGUCUCUAAGGUGCCACAAGGAGUCCUUUUUCUUUUUGCGGAUACAGACUAAUACGGCUCCCACUCUGAAACCUCCUUCCCCUGUCACUGUCACGCUCCACUCUCAACACAUCAGGCUCAGUCCCAGCCAUGGAAAGUUUAACCUGUCUCCGUUCUAUCUCUCCAUCUCCCAAGGUGUCACUUACCACCCUGUCCCUGGCUCUCCAGGCUUAGGAGUCACAACUUUGAUGUCUAUGGUCUUAGGUCAGACGCCUGAGUGCUGGAGAAGGAAGUGUCACAGACUUGGGAGUGGGCAGGGAAAUCUCAAUGAACUUCAAAGCACAGUUUGACCUUCAGAUUUUAUAGCCCUGUUUCCAUCUAUUGAUAAAAUUGCUUCCUGGCUUUUUCUAGGUUUAGUCCAGAUCAUUUAUAGAUGGGAAGGUUGUUUUGUCUUUCAUUCUCUUUCUUUUAUGAUGAUGCUGCUAAAACUUUUGUAACUCAUACAGCCGAAUAAGCAGGUGAGAAGUGAAGCCGGUUUAGCCACUUCAGAAGAAAAUGGGUAAAUUUCUUAAGAGUCUCUGAGAUUUCAACUUCAUGAAUGUGAAAUCAUUGUAUAGUCCACCCUGGCCUGUGGGUUUUUCUCUCUUUGUGACGGCCGUGAGGUCACGUCUUUGAUAUUAGUUUAGUUGGAUAGGUUGUAGCUCAGAUUUCCUGCAGAUUUCAAGAGACAUUUGGUCAUUGGCACGAAUCAUCCUUUUUUAGAUAUUAUUUUAUUUUAAUGUUUGUGUAACCCUUUGUCGUGAGAUUUUUGUGUGUGUGGUUUGAACAAUGACAGUAAUAAUAAUAAUAAUUGGAGAUAUACCAAUCUCCUAAAACUGGAAGAAACCUUGAAAGGUCAUCGAGUCCAGCCCCCUGCCCCAGAUCCCUAAGUGGCCCCCUCAACCCUGGGUUAGCAGGCCAAUGCUCACACCACUGAGCUAUCCCUCCAGUGAUCAGUGUCUCUCAGCAUGAACACUGAUGGUGAGAGUAGGGUACGUCCAGACUAUCCGCCAUAUCCGCAGGUAGCAAUCGAUUUUUCGGGGAUCAAUAUAUCGCGUCUCAUCUAGACGCGAUAUAUCGAUCCCCGAACGCGCUCCUGUCGACUCUGGAACUCCACUGGAGCGAGUGGAGGUAGCGGAGUCGACACGGGGAGCCACGGACGUCGAUCCUGCACCGUGAAGACCCGAGGUAAAUCAAUCCAAGAUACUUUGACUUCAGUUAUGCUAUUCACGUAGCUGAAGUUGCGUGUCUUAGAUCGAUACCCCCUCCCCCAGUGUAGACCAGCCCCUAGAUUCAGAAUGCGAGAGGCAGAGACUGAAAUGGAAGUUACUGCCUGUGAAAGCAAUGUUAAGUGAGCCUAUACCUUUGUCAAGUUAACUGUGUACAUGAUAAAGAGGGGAAAAGAGGGAGCUCCGAGAAACACAAUUGCAACAGGUAAUCUUAAGAAAGCCAUUAACCGCAAAAGAACAACUCUUUAAAACGGGACAACUUGGUUUUGCUGUGUUCCUAAUAAGGAAAUAUUAAUGAGGAAAUGUGCUUAUCUGUAUAUUGUUAAAAAUCUAUGUAAGCUUUUAUUGUUUUCAUCUUUGCAGAGCGGCUCGGUGCAGCUGUCUCUCCCUGCAUGCUUGUAUUACAAUAAAGAGGCAUCAGGCUGUCUGAUCCAAACGCAAGGCCUGGGAAUGCAGAGCUACGUUUCACCUCUGUUUCCCGUUUUUGGGACUGAAGAGACUCCAACAUGCGAUCAAUAAGCACCUUGGUGCCAGAGCCGAGCUGAAGCCUGAAGAGUUCCAGGUGGACAUUUGCAGACACCUUGCCAAAGAGAAUGCAGAGCUGCUGGAGAACUUGUACAGCACCACCAUCACAUACUUCAGUAGCAGCUGGGAAGGGAUCCGGGCGGUUGCCGCCAAGUUAGCUGGCAUCAUCCUGGAACACACAGACACUCAGCGUAUGAAAUGGCUGGACCUGGAACAUGUGCUGAUGUCUCUCCAGGUCCUAGAGAAAGACCCAAGUCCCACUGUCCAGCUGGUGGCAACUGAGAUCAUAAGUGACAUCUGUCCUGGCCGAGCGCUUGGCGAAUGAAGCAGAACGGAGACAAACAGAACAAGGCACUCCAGUGGUAUAAGGGCCCUACCAUCAAUCAAAUGUUAACCCCACCCCUUGACCCUGGCAGCAAGAUGUGUCAUGUGACCCCUCUAAGAACUCCUCCCACUUUCCUCUACCAAUCAGGAUGGGUUUCGCCCCAAUAGGAAUGCCCCGAGAGAAGACUUGACCAAUCAGGUGGAGUUCCGGGGCAGGUGACCUGUCCUUUGUGUGACCCCUCUAAGAACUCCUCCCACCGCCAUCUACCGAUCAGGGUGGGUUUCAGCCACUGGGGAUCACUCCAAGAGGAGAUUUGACCAACUGGAGGGAAUUCUGGGGUGGGGUGACCCAUCCGGAAGUGCUUCAUGUGACCCCUCUAGGAACUCCUCUCACCACCCUUUACCAAUUACGAUGGGUUUCAGCUGCAGAGGACUGCCCCAAGAGGAGAGUUGACCAAAACAGGGUAGGUUCUCGGAAGGGGUGAACGUCCCAGAAGAGGGUCGUGUGACCCCUCUAAGAACUCCUUCCAAUGCCCUCUGCCAAUCAGAGUGCAGCACAUCACCUCAUAAGUCCCAGCGCUGGGCAGAGGAGGCCAUCUCUUACCAAGAAGAUGUGUUUUAUGAAUUGUGGAAAGGCUGAGAGGAGACAUGGACUCUUUUUUACCACUCCCCUGAGAACUUCAGACUUUGUUUUAGCCCCGAGGACCUUUGGGCUUGUAUGGAUAAAGCGCUAUAGCAGUUACAGUUCCGAGGAGGGCCCUUUGACUCGACCAUUGAUAGAUACCUCGGGACCUGACCCCGAACCCUCGUGAAGAACCCCGUUGAGUGUGACGACCCCCCCCCAAAGUGGGAAGAUGAUCAUGGCUUGGGGGAGUCACUGGUGGACAAGGUGAAUGGGAAAGACAUUGCUCAGCUCGACGAUGCCUUUCAAGAGGCCUUUGAGAACUUACACAUCGGUAGCCCUGUCGUGCAUCAGCUGUUUUUGCUCCUGUCUGAGAUGCAGAUCUCAAGAGGAAAAUCCGGAAAAGGACAAAAUAGAAGAAUGAACCAGCUCAGAGUCUUUCGUUGUAGGGGUCAUGGCGUCCAUUUUUACAGGUGGCUGUCAAAGGUUGUGUUAAACCAGGGAAUUAAUUAAACUUAUUUAAAUGUGUCCCUAUGACUGUAUCCCCCUUCAUACUUGUGUUAGUAAAAGACGGUACCAGGAACAGUCCUGUCUCCACAGACAGCUCUGUUAAUGAAAAUAUAUUACAUCCCCAGGGAAGCUGGGAGUUUUGGUGGGGGAAUCCUCUUUUUCGAGUGGCCAAAAAGCACAGUAAAACUUUAAAUAGAAGACAGGUAAAAGCUUAGCUUUCAGAUCAGAUGCUUACACGUUACACAAACUGGCUCAAAUACCUUUUAAAAGAAACAAGACCAUUGUUUCAGAUGUGGACGCGCAAUGGCAGGCAGAUCUGGUAGAUGUGCACCGGUUCUCCAAACACAACGGAGGCUUUAAGACGUGUUAUCUGACUUUAUAAAGAGUGACAACCAGAGCUUUCACAGAACUGUACGUACCAGACCUGCUGAUGUUAAUCCUUCACAUUCUCUGAAGAUAUGGAAAACAGUUUAUAGAGAUGGUUUUAAAAUAAAACCAGUUGUUGCCCCUUUUAGAAAAGGCGACCACGUGAGACUAUCUAAAGUCAAAGGAGCCUUUGAAAAAGGUUAUGAACAGACGUUUACUGAUGAGCUAUUUAUAGUGGAUGAAGCCUUAACCAGGAGCCAGAGACCUAUAUACUGAUUAAAAGAUUACGAGGGUGAGACAGUUACUGGAUCUUUUUACCCUGAAGAAUU